GACGAACGCUGGCGGCGUGCUUAACACAUGCAAGUCGAGCGGAGCGGCGAACGGGUGAGUAACGCGUGAGUAACUGCACCCCUCUCUGGGAUAACAGUUUGAAACGGCUGCUAAUACCGGAUAGUGGGGGAUGACUCGCGUCCUAUCAGCGUGUUGGUGUGUGAGUGGCCUACCAAGGCGACGACGGGUAGCCGGCCGGAGAGGGCGAUCGGCCACAUGGGGCUGAGCUACGGCCCAAACUCCUACGGGAGGCAGCAUUGGGGAAUAGUGCACAAUGGUGGAAACCCUGAUGCAGAAACGUCGCGUGCGGUAUGACGGCCUUCGGGUUGUAAACCGCUUUCAGCCAUGACGCGGUAGUUGCAGAAGAAGCACCGGCUAACUACGUGCCAGCAGCCGCGGUAAUAC
rnacentral:rRNA from 1 species